CUGGCCCUGCUGCUGCUGUGCCAGAGUGGCUGGGACUGGUCUCCACAGAAACGCUGGCCCCACGCUAUCAUAGCACAACUGCUGCUGGGGUCUCCAUGGAAACUGGCCCCAGCCACAGGGGCAGGAGCUG